UUUUUGGCAGAUUCUAAUUUGUUAAUAUCUAGCUAUACUGGCAACUCCUUGCUCUACUCUGGCAAAUUUUGCCUGGUUGCGUUGUUUUUCAUGUGACAAAACAGAUUCUUUAUGAUGGGUAUUGCUGCUGCAUUUCCUGAAGUAUUUGGAUUGACGUGUCCCCGCCCCUGCCUAUUUGUACUUCUCAGUGUACUAUGUUUACUAUAGAUGUUGACGGAGAUUAGGAAGAUCUUGAAGCCGCUGAUGAUUUGGAAAACCUAUGAUUAAGUUGCUGAGUGAUUAUGUAAUAUGCUUUGUUUGUUGAACCUGGACACUUGCUCUGCUCAUUUUGCUGGUUAAGCCACUAUAUGCUCAUUUUGGUUGUGGCACCCCCAGAAACAUAUGUACUUUCUCCUUUUGUGGCAAUACUUCAGUUUGGUUGUGGCACAUUUAACAUAUAUGUACUGUACCUUUUGUGGCAGAACCUCCUUAUGUAUAUAUGGAUAUUAUGUUUAUCUGAUGAUGUUUAAGGUUUUCUGGACGAGGCCUA